rnacentral:rRNA from 1 species
AAAUUGAAGAGUUUGAUCAUGGCUCAGAUUGAACGCUGGCGGCAGGCCUAACACAUGCAAGUCGAACGGUAGCACAGAGAGCUUGCUCUCGGGUGACGAGUGGCGGACGGGUGAGUAAUGUCUGGGAAACUGCCUGAUGGAGGGGGAUAACUACUGGAAACGGUGGCUAAUACCGCAUAACGUCGCAAGACCAAAGAGGGGGACCUUCGGGCCUCUUGCCAUCAGAUGUGCCCAGAUGGGAUUAGCUUGUUGGUGAGGUAACGGCUCACCAAGGCGACGAUCCCUAGCUGGUCUGAGAGGAUGACCAGCCACACUGGAACUGAGACACGGUCCAGACUCCUACGGGAGGCAGCAGUGGGGAAUAUUGCACAAUGGGCGCAAGCCUGAUGCAGCCAUGCCGCGUGUAUGAAGAAGGCCUUCGGG